rnacentral:rRNA from 1 species
AACGAACGCUGGCGGCAGGCUUAACACAUGCAAGUCGAACGCACCUUUCGGGGUGAGUGGCAGACGGGUGAGUAACGCGUGGGAAUCUACCCUUCUCUACGGGAUAGCUCCGGGAAACUGGAAUUAAUACCGUAUACGUCCUGAGGGAGAAAGAUUUAUCGGGGAAGGAUGAGCCCGCGUUGGAUUAGCUAGUUGGUGGGGUAAAGGCCUACCAAGGCGACGAUCCAUAGCUGGUCUAAGAGGAUGAUCAGCCACAUUGGGACUGAGACACGGCCCAAACUCCCACGGGAGGCAGCAGUGGGGAAUAUUGGACAAUGGGCGCAAGCCUGAUCCAGCCAUGCCGCGUGAGUGAUGAAGGCCCUAGGGUUGUAAAGCUCUUUCAGUGGGGACGAUAAUGACGGUACCCACAGAAGAAGCCCCGGCUAACUUCGUG